GAUGAAGAACGCAGCGAAAUGCGACAAGUAAUGUGAAUUGCAGAAUUCAGUGAAUCAUCGAAUCUUUGAACGCACAUUGCGCCCUUUGGCAUUCCGAAGGGCACACCUGUCCGAGCGCCGUCGCACAACUGAGGCGCAGCCUUGCGUUGGCGGGCGACUUGUGAGUAGCGAGUCGCCGCCCAAACGAGACGGCGCCGCGCCGCGGCCGACGAAGCACGAAAGCGGAAGUCGACGCGGAGGCGGUUGCCUGUAGGAAGACACAGCUUGGCCUCGGAUCAGGUGGGGAUACCCGCUGAACUUAAGCAUAUCAAUAAGCGGAGGA
rnacentral:misc_RNA from 1 species